rnacentral:rRNA from 1 species
GAUGAACGCUGGCGGCGUGCCUAAUACAUGCAAGUCGAGCGAACAGACGAGGAGCUUGCUCCUCUGACGUUAGCGGCGGAAGGGUGAGUAACACGUGGAUAACCUACCUAUAAGACUGGGAGAACUUCGGGAAACCGGAGCUAAUACCGGAUAAUAUAUUGAACCGCAGGGUUCAAUAGUGAAAGACGGUUUUGCUGUCACUUAUAGAUGGAUCCGCGCCGCAUUAGCUAGUUGGUAAGGUAACGGCUUACCAAGGCAACGAUGCGUAGCCGACCUGAGAGGGUGAUCGGCCACACUGGAACUGAGACACGGUCCAGACUCCUACGGGAGGCAGCAGUAGGGAAUCUUCCGCAAUGGGCGAAAGCCUGACGGAGCAACGCCGCGUGAGUGAUGAAGGUCUUCGGAUCGUAAAACUCUGUUAUUAGGGAAGAACAAAUGUGUAAGUAACUAUGCACGUCUUGACGGUACCUAAUCAGAAAGCCACGGCUAACUACGUG